ACAAAUUAAUACAAUUUUCAAUUUAAGUUUUUAAAACCGUAUUUAACUAACAUUCGCUCAGCAUUGUUUGCGUUUGCAAUGAUUCAUUUAUCCAAUAUAAAUUAAAUUACUCUAUAUUCAGUAUUAAAUGUAACCUUCCAACUUCAUAUUUACAACUGUGGCACACCCAUUAUCAGUCUCACCGUUUUUUAGACUAAGAGCGUAGCUAGGGUCUAUU